rnacentral:tRNA from 1 species
GGAAAUGUGGCUCAGUGGUAGAGUGCUUGCUUUGCAUGUAUGAGGCCCUUGGUUCAAUUCCU